ensembl:lncRNA
CAGCAGGAUGGCACCUCCAGUUUGCCUUGAGCAGCCAAAUGCAAAACCUUCUCCAGCUGAGGCAAGUUUCACUGAGGCUCAUCCUCUGGACCUGCUGACAUCUGGGACUCUGACACUGUGCCCUGCUGUACACGGGGAUAAGAGCUAAAUCCCAACCCAGGAGAGACCUUUCCCCCUGGGAAGGAGUGAGGACCACAGAAGCAGUGACAUCUCCAGCGCAGUCAGCAAGGGGAAAAGAUGAGCCUGGAUUCAGGAGCAGGAGGUCCUCCUUGAGUGCUGAAAUAUAAAAAAUAAGAAACUACUUUUUCCCUGCCUAAACUAAGAUUUUACAGUGCAUCUUGUGUGUAAAGGUAAAAUGCCACAGGACGUGCUCGUGUGCAGAGAUAUUGCAAAUACUCGGUGUAGCAACCCCUAAGUAAUAUAUUCAUUUGUGUAAGAGCUGGGAGUUGUGAUCUGACUGGGGCUCUCCAGGGACUGCAUGUCAGACAGAUGCUGCAGAAAUCAAGAGCCCAGCUGACCCACUUCUCUCUAGCUGGAGGAAAAAACCCACUGCUUUGGUAGCCCCAUGCAGCCUGGCUGUAAAUAAUCAUUCCUAAGGAAAACACGGGGGUAACUCUCACUUCAAAAAGUACUUCACAAAUCUGAAACUUCUAUUAAGUAACCAACCAUGAUUAAUGCACUUGGCAUCAAUUAUGUUUUAAAAGCAAAUCAUAAAGGAGACUUCAUCCUUGUUUUCUCUUACAACUGAUAUGACAGAUCAGAAAUGCUAAUGCUACAAAUCCUGCACUGACUGGGACCCAAAUACUGCUGAAAUGAACUGAUUUAUUUUACAAAUGUAGGACAUCCAAGGACCAGACUAUUGUUGUGUGGAGGCAAUCCAUGGCACUUCAGAAGUUACAGCUCAUAUCAACUCCAACCACUGCAGAAACAGAACCAAAAGACAUUUACUGUGCUGCAUAAUAGGAC